GGUAAAACAAGUCAGUGCAAUAGUGUUGAGCCGGAUAUUGUUGCAUUAUUUCGCGGGACAAGAUAUUGGGUAGCGGGAAAGUUUUAUUUGAGAGAAAAAUUAGGGGAGCGGGAAAGGUGAAUUAUUUUCCCAGUUUUUUCUCAUCUAUUCCGUUUUCCCCAUAUCCUUUCAGUUCCGUGUUUGUCUCCAUCCAUGAUACCGUAUCUCAAUUUUGAAGUUUAUCUCUGGCUUGAAUUUGGUUUCUCUCACGCAAACAACCAGAAACUGUCCAAAAAAAAAAAAGUUUUUUGAGAGAGGCAAAAAAAAAAAAAAAAUGUGAGAUUUGAAGGAGGCAAAGAUGAGAGAUUAUUGAAGAUUGUGAUUUGAGGAGCAGCAGAGGAGUUCAUUCUCUUUUACUGGGUUUUCUUUGAGGAAUUUCAAUCUCUCAUUUCGGUUGGCUUGAGAAAUUUCUCUGAUUUGCAGGCUAUCACUUCAUCAGGAACAAAGAAAGAUCACAACAAGGUAGGCAAGGGAAGAUUAGAAGCUUGUCCUCAAAAGCAAGUAGUUAAGCAAGUGGACUAACACGAUCAAGUUUAUUGAAAGUGUCGUAUAUGGUGGAGAUAAGUGGAGACUAGAUGAUGAUGACAAUACUCAAGCUAAAAUUUUCAAGAUUGCCAAAGAGAGGUAUAGGAGAUGGAGAGCUGAUUUAUCAGCAACAUAUAAUACAUACAAACAUGACAGGGAGGCUGUCAUCCGAAAUAAGCCUCAGGAGCUCAACAUGGAUGCUUGGUAUGAUGUGAUCUCAUACUUCAAGUCAGAUGAUUUUAAGAUGUUUAUUUUAGACAAUAAGUGAUAGAAAUACUGAAAAUCGAAGCAAGCGAGAGAGCAUCCACUGUACUGGUAGCAAAUCAUUUGCACAAAUCAGCUUUGAAAAUCGUGAUCCAGAAACACAAAAGGAGCCUGACGAUCUUCAAAUGUGGGCAUUGGCCUACUGUCCAAAGGGCCAAUGGGCUCAUGAUACUCCAAAACAUGUAUAUGAGGAAGCAAAAGAAAAAAUUGUUGAAAUGGAAGUGAAUGAAGAUCGAACAUUAUCCAGUAGUGAGCGGGAUACAAUAUUCCAAUCAGUUGUCUCCAUGUCAAGCUCCAAGUCCAGAUAUGUCCUAGAUCGAGGAUACAUGGCAAAGCUUCCAACUUCUACAGAGCGUGUCCGCAAUGAACUUAAUAGUGAAGUUCAAUCUAUGAAGAGUCAAUUAGAUGUAGAACGCGCUGAGAGGGUAGCUGAAUGUGCAUAAAUGGAAGCAAAAUUUGAAGUAGAACGCGCUAAGAGGGCGGCUGAACAUGCAGAAAUGGAAGUACAAUUUCAAAGACUCCGAUAGACUAUGCGUGAGGAAUUUCUGGCAAUACUAGCUAACCAAUCUCAGGGUGGAGGCCAAUGAAGUGGUUGUGAAGCAUGCAUGGAUAUCACUUUCUGAAGGGAACUUUUCUUACAUGUUGCAUAUAUAUUUGUGUAUAUUUACUUUUGAAACUAUGUGUUUGAUCGUAAUUAACUAAACAAGUUAUGUGUAUAUUUGUGUUCUUGGACAUAUCAAUUUGAUGGAGUACUUUGACUUUUGCAUUUA